CGCACAUUUCUCCCGUCAAAAACAUUGUAGGAAGAACUGUGCAUAUAGUUCGAUCGUUUGAUCACUAGAGGACUGCUUCUCCAAAGCGAGUAUGUUCAUUUGCCGUAAAUAUAUCUCACUCUCGCUCCCAAUGCAAACUGAGCUGAACGUGCUGAAAAAAGCAAUUCCUGGGAUACACCUUUCUAGAUAAUAUUCGCCACGCGAACCCAACCAACGAACAUUAAGCGGGUAGUAGUGUAUAUGAACAUUUAUAUGUAUAUUACUUUAUGACAUUAAUUUUAUAAAAAAAUCUCACGCGUUUCGUUCACCUGUAAUCAAAAUAAACACUCAAACUUUGGUAUUCUGCUUUUCUUAAGGUUAAAAAAAUGCAUAAACAUGUUUACUCUAUUCAAGUCUAUGAUCCAAAUAAAAUUAAAUAUAUAUA